UACAGAGGUCUCAAGCGUUUGUUCGGAUUCAUUGGGCGUAAAGGGUGCGUAGGCGGCGCGGUAAGUCGGGUGUGAAAUCUCGGAGCUUUAACUCCGAAACUGCAUUCGAUACUGCCGUGCUUGAGGACUGGAGAGGAGACUGGAAUUUACGGUGUAGCGGUGAAAUGCGUAGAUAUCGUAAGGAAGACCAGUGGCGAAGGCGGGUCUCUGGACAGUUCCUGACGCUGAGGCACGAAGGUCAGGGGAGCAAACGGG
rnacentral:rRNA from 1 species